rnacentral:rRNA from 1 species
CAGUAGCCGCGGUAAUACGAAGGGUGCAAGCGUUAAUCGGAAUUACUGGGCGUAAAGCGUGCGUAGGCGGUUUGUUAAGUCUGUUGUGAAAUCCCCGGGCUCAACCUGGGAAUGGCAAUGGAUACUGGCAAGCUAGAGUGUGUCAGAGGAUGGUGGAAUUCCCGGUGUAGCGGUGAAAUGCGUAGAGAUCGGGAGGAACAUCAGUGGCGAAGGCGGCCAUCUGGACAAAGACUGACGCUCAGGUGCGAAAGCGUGGGGAGCAAACAGGAUUAGAUACCCCCGUAGUCCCUGUCUCUUAUAA